GUCAACUGGAAGUGGAGCAGGAGGGGUCAAGCCCAUCUGUGGCAGGACCUAGGAUGGAGUGGUCACCACCUCUGCCUUCUCCAUUUUUGUCUCUUCUCUUCAAGUAUGGUUACAACCUCAGCUAACUUGGUUUUGCCAGAAAGAAGAAGCAGAGGGAGAGGCAUUCCAUGAUCAUGCCUUAUUACCAGUGAUGCAGGAGGCAUUCUGGAUGGGCGCUUUAGAAUCACUCUUUCUGAACCAAAAGCUCUCAGAGCAGAGCUGAACCUCCCAGAAAAUGCUCUUCUCUACCAAAUCGCCAGAUGGGGGUGGGCCCGAAGCUAAACAGCACUGUAGAGGUGGCAUAAUGGACCAGAACCCCCAGGCAGAGGUGGGAGGAAUCAGAGAGGAUGCCUGGACCAGAAGCCAGCACCACCCUCAGGGCUUCACUGGAGGAGCUGUCACUGGGGCCAGUGCGGUUUCCCCUACUGCUGCAGGACCAGGAGAGGAUUCGUCCAACAGUGAAUCAGAGCAGGAGGGGCCCCAGAAGCUGGUCCAUAAAGUGUCCACCUCUGGACAGAUGGGGACCAAGUAGCAUUGAUCUUCCCAGACUGAUAACUGCUGAAAUCCAGGUCACGGCUCACCUCACCAAACUCAAAGCAAGGAGUGAGGAGAGGGAGACUCUAGACAGCCACUGGACUACAACCAUCGGCUCUGAAAUAAUGAGAAACUAUUGUAAGCAGACAGAUGCCUUGAUGUCUCUGAGAAGUUGCAAAAGAGACAGCUGUCUAUGAAGAUAGAAGCUAGACCGCCUGUCAAGCUGACAUGGAAUGAAGAGCUACAGUUCCAUCUUCAUUACAUCCUGAAAUUGAGCUCCAUCUUCAAAUUGAUGCCUCAGAAUCCAUAGGAGCCAUCAAGCAAAGAAAUACACCCUGACAGGUUGUCAUGGCCUCCGCAUAUGUGAAGUUGCCUGUGCACUAAAGGUUAUCAGUCAUGAUGUCAUGUCCUCAGCUGGUUUGCCUGCAUUAAGGCAGUUACCCAGCGCUGCUUCAGUCUUUUGUGUAGUUGAUAUUACAAGCUUACACCACCAGGCUUAGUUAACAGUCCUGUGUGUGUGUGUGUGUGUGUGUGUGUGUGUGUGUGUGUGUGUGUGUGUGUGUAUGUGUGUAAGGAAGACUCUGCUUUCACUGAUAACUGGGCUAUUUCAAAAGUUUAAUUUCUCGGGAUUUAAAACUUCUAAACUUUUGUAAAAGGUACAAAUUGAGAAUCUCAAAAUAUUGGACCACCUUGCUUUAAAAACUUUUUUUAAUGAAAAAUGGUGUGUGUGUGUGGCUAAGACACAAGUCAAAACACAAAAUUCAUUUAUAUUUCACACCUCAUGAAUAUAGCCUGAAAUUAAUGAUUUACAGGAUUUUUAAUGAGCUUAUGCUUUUACUAUGACCCUUCAAUUGAGGUCAAGUGUGGAAGUUUCUCCUGGUGGCACUGUCUUGGUGCUUAGCAAGUUUUGGAUUUGUAAAUGUUUUAGGCUUUCAAAUUUAGAUGCUUAGUGUAUGGUGCUUCCCCAGUGGCAAUGUAAAAUGCAUAGGGAUAAGUAUAUACGUGGUGCUGGACCAAUAGUUACUGAGUUCUUAAAUAUUUUAUCAGCCUUCCUCAAAUAGAAGUUUCUCACUCAUCUCAAUGCAGACCAGAAUUUAAUUGAAAAGCUUUUGCUUCAUUUCCAGCAAGUACAAUAAAUUAAAGCUGGCCAUACUUGAAUGUCUA
rnacentral:lncRNA from 1 species